CUCGGAUUUUAUGUUUUGUGUGUGAAUUUGGGUCCAUUGUGUAAAUUCAGUAUGUCAACAUGAUAAAAUAACUGUAAAUUGACACAGGUGAGGUUGUGCUGAAAAAAAUGAUACCAGGCAAGGCACGUGAUUGUCAAAUUUUGUGUCAAUAUGACAAAGCGUAUAGGCGUGAAUCUCAACAAUAUGUAUUUUCACCUUAGGGGACAAGAAAAAAUGGACUUUUUUCUCCUGCCAUGGGGGGGCGCUCUUUUGGGGAGUAAAAAUUCCUUCACAAAUGUGUUGAUGGCUGGACAUUGCAUCAUCCUAGAAAACUUGGAGGCCAGUGAGGACAAAAAUAAAAAGUUAUAAGACUUUUAAAUAUGUGGAUUUUAGGGUUAUCUUUGGCGCCCCCUAGAACCUAAACCGUGGGGUGCAGCGUCAUGAUUUUGAUAACUUUUAAUGGCCAUGGGCUGUAGAUUGGCCUGAGCAAAUGUGGUGCCGGUGGAACGAAAGCCUUAGGAGGAGUUAGCCACAUUCCAAUGUGUGCGGAUCGGCAAAAAAUGCGGAAUAACCCUUUAACCGUACAUUUGACAGAUACGCGCGCAUUGACUUUUUCGUAGAUCUUAUUGAGUUACAUGUGUGUGUCAAUUUUUGUGUCAUUUUGACAAAGCGUAUAGGCGUGACACUCAACAAUGUGUAUUUUCACCUUAGGGGACAAGAAAAAAUGGACUUUUUUCUCCUGCCAUGGGGGGGCGCUCUUUUGGGGAGUAAAAAUUCCUUCACAAAUGUGUUGAUGGCUGGACAUUGCAUCAUCCUAGAAAACUUGGAGGCCAGUGAGGACAAAAAUAAAAAGUUAUAAGACUUUUAAAUAUGUGGAUUUUAGUGUUAUCUUUGGCGCCCCCUAGAACCUAAACCUUGGGGUGCAGCGUCAUGAUUUUGAUAACUUUUAAUGGCCACGGGGUGUAGAUUGGCCUGAGCAAAUGUGGUGCCAGUGGAACGAAAGCCUUCGGAGGAGUUAGCGAAAUUCCAAUGUGUGCAGAUCGGCAAAAAAUGCGAAAUAACCCUUUAACCGUAAUUUUGACAGAUACGGCCGCACUGACUUUUUUGUAGAUCUUAUUGAGAUACAUGUGUGUGUCCAUUUUUGUGUCAUUUUGACAAAGCGUACAGUCGUGACAGUGAAUUGUGUGAAUUUUCACCUUAGGGGGCGCUAUGGAGCCAUUUUGCAUUUUAUUGUUUUGGCGACUUCAGAAUAUCAAAUUUUUCACCAGGCCCGGUCGUCCUGCCAAAUUUCAUGAGUUUUCGCCAGUGGGAAGUGGGCCAUUUUCCAGUUCAAAGGGGAGGAAAAAGAAACUAGGGCCCCGUUGGGGCACUGGCGGGCCCGAGCCGCGUUGCGCCGCCCCCAGUGCGACCGCCUCCCCCUCCCGAUCGCGUCACACUCAAGGUCCAAAGAUGGUGUGCGCACUUGUCUGUGGUCAUUUCCCAUUAUAAUGAAUGGGAGGCGCAGUUUCUACCAAAACACUCGCUGCAGACAAACUACAUGUCCUAUUUGAAAAAAGUCUGGACCAUGAGUGAGGGCACAAACACAGCUAGGAUAUAUCCAAACGGCAAGUUGCUCCUCGUUACGGUGUUGCCGGGAGAGCGAUGCGAUUGAGCCAUUGAGUGAUGGGCAGGAAAAACUUGACUGUUUCUCCUGCCAUGGGGGAUGGGGGAUGGGAGGGGGGGGGGAAGGGAUGUGGAUUCUUUUAAGAAUGUGGAUAUUUGGGUCAUCUUUGGCGCCCCCUAGAACGUAAACCGUGGGGUGCAGCGGCAUGAUUUUUAAAACUUUGAAUGGCCAUGGGGUGUAGAUUGGCCUGAGCAAAUUUGGUGUCAGUGGGACGAAAGCCUUAGGAGGAGUUAGCCACAUUCCAAUGUGUGCUAAUCGGCAAAAAAUGCAAAAUAGCCCUUUAACCGUACAUUUUACAGAUACGCGCUCUUUGACUUUUUCGUACAUCUUAUUGAGAUACAUGUGUGUGUCAAAUUUUGUGUCAAUAUGACAAAGCAUACAGGUAUGACAGUCAACAAUGUGUAUUUUCACCUUAUGGGACAAGAAAAAAUGGACUUUUUUCUCCUGCCAUGGGGGGGCGCUCUUUUAGGGAGUAAAAAUUCCUUCACAAAUGUGUUGAUGGCUGGACAUUGCAUCAUCCUAGAAAACUUGGAGGCCAGAGAGGACAAAAAUAAAAAGUUAUAAGACUUUUAAAUAUGUGGAUUUUAGGGUUAUCUUUGGCGCCCCCUAGAACCUAAACUGUGGGGUGCAGCGUCAUGAUUUGAAUAACUUUUAAUGGCCAUGGGGUGUAGAUUGGCCUGAGCAAAUGUGGUGCCGGUUGAACGAAAGCCUUCGGAGGAGUUAGCGAAAUUCCAAUGUGUGCGGAUCGGCAAAAAAUGCGCAAUAACCCUUUAACCGUACAUUUGACAGAUACGCCCGCACUGACUUUUUUGUAGAUCUUAUUGAGAUACAUGUGUGUGUCAAUUUUUGUGUAAUUUUGACAAAGCGUACAGGCGUGACAGUCAAUAGUGUGAAUUUUCACCUUAUGGAACAAGAAAAAAUGGACUUUUUUCUCCUGCCAUGGGGGGGCGCUCUUUUGGGGAGUAAAAAUUCCUUCACAAAUGUGUUGAUGGCUGGACAUUGCAUCAUCCUAGAAAACUUGGAGGCCAGUGAGGGCAAAAAUAAAAAGUUAUAAGACUUUGAAAUAUGUGGAUUUUAGGGUUAUCUUUGGCGCCCCCUAGAACAUAAACCGUGGGGUGCAGCGUCAUGAUUUGAAUAACUUUUAAUGGCCAUGGGGUGUAGAUUGGCCUGAGCAAAUGUGGUGCCGGUGGAACGAAAGCCUUCGGAGGAGUUAGCGAAAUUCCAAUGUGUGCGGAUCGGCAAAAAAUGCGAAAUAACCCUUUAACCGUACAUUUGACAGAUACGCCCGCACUGACUUUUUUGUAGAUCUUAUUGAGAUACAUGUGUGUGUCAAUUUUUGUGUCAUUUUGACAAAGCGUACAGGCGUCAGGUGAAUUUUUCACCUUAGGGGGCGCUAUGGAGCCAUUUUGCAUUGUAUUGUUUGGGCGACUUCAGAAUAUCAAAUUUUUCACCAGGCCCGGUCGUCCUGCCAAAUUUCAUGAGUUUUCGCCAGUGGGAAGUGGGCCAUUUUCCAGUUCAAAGGGGAGGAAAAAUAAUAACUAGGACCCCGUUGGGGCACUGGCGGGCCCGAGCUGUGUCGCGCCCCCCCCCCAACGCGCUGCCUCCCCGUCCCAUUUGUGUCCUCUGGCCAUCGCCCUCUCUGGUAACGCCCAUCACUGCAAAGACCCUUUUCCUUCAUCGGCGUUUGCUGUUCUUCCUGCCAGUGCGUGUUGCUUUCACUUACACUUGCCACAGCCAGCCUCGUGAGUGCCUAGCCUAUUGGAUAUUACUGUCACCUACACAGGACAGUCAUUACCUUUCUAUUAAUACUUUGUUUUUUAAUUUCACAUUAAUUUCCAUAUUGUAUAAACGACUGGAAAAAACUUGAGCCCCUGCCCCUGUAUAAUCAUGUGCACGUCUCUGUUCUAGCUCUAAGGUGAAUCUUCACUGCUCAUGUUCUCCUCAGAAGCAGUCACCUCACUCCCCUCAGGUUACUGUACACAUGCACCAACUGCCUGCUUCAGGUUUGGAUGGAGCUUCAUGGUUGUCUUUUGGAGAAAUGACCAGUCAAGUUGUGUUUGAAAUUUGAUUUUUUUCAGGGGCAAAAGGAGCCUCUGCAUUCUUGUCAAAUAUGUAAAUAGCAUGUUUUUGCAGGUGCUAAAAACCAGACUCUGAGUGUGUGUGUGUGCGUGUGUGUGUGUGUCUGUGUGUGUGUGUGUGUGUGUGUGUGUGUGCGUUCAAGUCACAUGACAUAUUUAACCGGAUGUAGCUGCAAGACGGAGCCUCGUUGACUCUCCGUUUCAAUUUAUCUCAAAAGUGAGGACCUCAACCUAUAUACCAGUUUUUAAAUUGUGUUGAUAGGCCAAAUAAAACCAGAGUUAUGAUAAAUUAUGUCCGCGAUACUUGUUUUCUGCUUAUUUUGAUCACAUUCGGCGCUCGAUCGCGCUGUAUGAGACAGGAAAACAUAGCAUGCAGACAUUAGCGACAGGUCUUACAGGCGGAAAAGGCUUGCCAAAAGAAAAAAAAAACACACCACAACAUCUCUCCUAUUGGUGGAAAACUUCACCACAACAACCAAUCCAAAAUUAUAUGGUGAUUGAUUGACAAGGGGCGGGAACUUACGUUCUUCCUGCAAUAUGAGAAGGGAGGGAGGGACUCUCAGCAGGGAUGCAGUCUGGGACACGUAGUUGCAAACCUAGCGACUUUGUUGUUAGAUUCAAUGACUUUUCAGACCCCCUAACGACUUUUUUUUAGAAAGAAAGGGACUUUUAUCGACUUCUUCUGGAGUUUAGAGACUCUGACAUGAAGCAGGCUUUCCUUACUGAGGAGUUAGCAACGCUGCUAAGGGUGCAGAGCCACACAUGCGCUCCGAGCUCUGCAUGGGAGACUGAAGCUGACAGAGCUGCAGCAGUUAGCAGGUUUCACCCUCAGAGACCACCAGGGGUUCAUGUUGAGGCAUUUUUAGUUUUUUUUUUUUUUUUUUUUGCCAUAGACACUGUCAGCACAAUCUGCAGUUACACUAACAAAAAUGCUGCAAAAAACAAAGAAUUAUGGAAAAAUUACACAUGGACUAACAUAGAGGAGGAUCUACACAAGUUUUUUACAUCAUGUUUUACAUCAUGCAUCAUUUACAUCAUGUUUUUUUGUAGUGGCAUAAAUAAAAAGUGACAUUUGUGAGACUAUACAGUGUUUUGUAAAUAAUUUUACAAAGAACACCUGGGCCAUUGCCUGCAUUUUGAUGUCAAUAGAGGAAAAUUACUAUGUUCUUUGUUAAAAAUUUGCAUAUGUUUUGAAGUUUACAAUUUUUAUUUGAAGUUUAAGUUUUAAAAACAGUUCAUCACACAUAUUUGUGGUUUUCACAGUAAAAACGUUACUUUUUUCCACUCGGAUUUUAUGUUUUGUGUGUGAAUUUGGGUCCAAUGUGUAAAUAUAGUAUGUCAAAAUGAUAAAAUAACUGUAAAUUGACACAGGUGAGGUUGUGCUGAAAAAAAUGAUACCAGGCAAGGCAAGGUAAAAAUUUUGUAAGAGGAAAUAUAAAGGUAAAAUCUAAAGUAGUCAAAAACGGCCAAUAGUGACUCACAGACUCCACAGACAAGUCCCUUUGCCGCCACUCAGUGGGCAAAACUACUUUGUCUACUGUAAUGUAUAUUUGGGUCAUCUUUGGCGCCCCCUAAAACGUAAACCGUGGGGUGCAGCGUCAUGAUUUUUACAACUUUGAAUGGCCAUGGAGUGUAGAUUGGCCUGAGCAAAUUUGGUGUCAGUGGGACGAAAGCCUUAGGAGGAGUUAGCGAAAUUCCAAUGUGUGCGAAUCGGCAAAAAAUGCAAAAUAGCCCUUUUACCGUACAUUAUACAGAUACGCGCUCUUUGACUUUUUCGUAGAUCUAAUUGAGAUACACAUGAUUGUCAAUUUUUGUGUCAUUUUGCCAAAGCGUACAGGCGUGACAGUCAACAAUGUGUAUUUUCACCUUAGGGGACAAGAAAAAAUGGACUUUUUUCUCCUGCCAUGGGGGGCGCUCUUUUAGGGAGUAAAAAUUCCUUCACAAAUGUGUUGAUGGCUGGACAUUGCAUCAUCCUAGAAAACUUGGAGGCCAGUGAGGACAAAAAUAAAAAGUUAUAAGACUUUUAAAAAUGUGGAUUUUUGGGUUAUCUUUGGCGCCCCCUAGAACGUAAACCGUGGGGUGCAGCGUCAUGAUUUGAAUAACUUUUAAUGGCCAUGGGGUGUAAUUUGGCCUGAGCAAAUGUGGUGCCGGUGGAACGAAAGCCUUCGGAGGAGUUAGCGAAAUUCCAAUGUGUGCGAAUCGGCAAAAAAUGCGGAAUAACCCUUUAACCGUACAUUAGACAGAUACGCGCGCAUUGACUUUUUCGAAGAUCUUAUUGAGAUACAUGUGUGUGUCAAUUUUUGUGUCAUUUUGACAAAGCGUAUAGGCGUGACAGUCAACAAUGUGUAUUUUCACCUUAGGGGACAAGAAAAAAUGGACUUUUUUCUCCUGCCAUGGGGGGGCGCUCUUUUGGGGAGUAAAAAUUCCUUCACACAUGUGUUGAUGGCUGGACAUUGCAUCAUCCUAGAAAACUUGGAGGCCAGUGAGGGCAAAAAUAAAAAGUUAUAAGACUUUUAAAAAUGUGGAUUUUAGGGUUAUCUUUGGCGCCCCCUAGAACCUAAACCGUGGGGUGCAGCGUCAUGAUUUGAAUAACUUUUAAUGGCCAUGGGGUGUAGAUUGGCCUGAGCAAAUGUGGUGCCGGUGGAACGAAAGCCUUCGGAGGAGUUAGCGAAAUUCCAAUGUGUGCGGAUCGGCAAAAAAUGCGAAAUAACCCUUUAACCGUACAUUUGACAGAUACGCCCGCACUGACUUUUUUGUAGAUCUUAUUGAGAUACAUGUGUGUGUCAAUUUUUGUGUCAUUUUGACAAAGCGUACAGGCGUGACAGUCAAUAGUGUGAAUUUUCACCUUAGGGGGCGCUAUGGAGCCAUUUUGCAUUUUCUUGUUUGGGCGACUUCGGAAUAUCAAAUUUUUCACCAGGCCCGGUCGUCCUGCCAAAUUUCCUGAGUUUUCGCCAGUGGGAAGUGGGCCAUUUUCCAGUUCAAAGGGGAGGAAAAAGAAAAAAGAAACAAAGAAAAACCACUUGGGGAAUAAUAGGGCUCUCGCAGCUGCUUAGCAGCUACGCUCGGGCCCUAACUAGGACCCCGUUGGGGCACUGGCGGGCCCGAGCUGUGUCGCGUCUCUCCCCCCCCCCCCCCAACGUGCUGCCUCCCCGUCCCAUUUGUGUCCUCUGGCCAUUGCCCUCUCUGUUAACGCCCAUCACUGCAAAGACCCUUUUCCUUCAUCGGCGUUUGCUGUUCUUCCUGCCAGUGCGUGUUGCUUUCACUUACACUUGCCACAGCCAGCCUCGUGAGUGCCUAGCCUAUUGGAUAUCACUGUCACCUACACAGGACAGUCAUUACCUUUCUAUUAAUACUUUGUGUUUUAAUUUCACAUUAAUUUCCAUAUUGUAUAAACGACUGGAAAAAACUUGAGCCCCUGCCCCUGUAUAAUCAUGUGCAUGUCUCUGUUCUAGCUCCAAGGUGAAUCUUCACUGCUCAUGCUCUCCUCAGAAGCACUCACCUCACUCCCCUCAGGUUACUGUACACAUGCACCAACUGCCUGCUUCAGGUUUGGAUGGAGCUUCAUGGUUGUCUUUUGGAGAAAUGACCAGUCAAGUUGUGUUUGAAAUUUGAUUUUUUUCAGGGGCAAAAGGAGCCUCUGCAUUCUUGUCAAAUAUGUAAAUAGCAUGUUUUUGCAGGUGCUAAAAACCAGACUCUGAGUGUGUGUGUGUGUGUGUGUGUGUGUGUGUGUGUGUGUGUGUGUGUGUGUGUGUGUGUGUGUGUGCGUGUGUGUGUGUCUAUGUGUGCGUUCAAGUCACAUGACAUAUUUAACCGGAUGUAGCUGCAAGACGGAGCCUCGUUGACUCUCCGUUUCAACUUAUCUCAAAAGUGAGGACCUCAACCUAUAUACCAGUUUUUAAAUUGUGUUGAUAGGCCAAAUAAAACCAGAGUUAUGAUAAAUUAUGUCCGCGAUACUUUUUUUCUGCUUAUUUUGAUCAUGUUCGGCGCUCGAUCGCGCUGUAUGAGACAGGAAAACAUAGCAUGCAGACAUUAGCGACAGGUCUUACAGGCGGAAAAGGCUUGCCAAAAGAAAAAAAAAACACACCACAACAUCUCUCCUAUUGGUGGAAAACUUCACCACAACAACCAAUCCAAAAUUAUAUGGUGACUGAUUGACAAGGGGCGGGCGCUUACGUUCUUCCUGCAACAUGAGAAGGGAGGGAGGGACUCUCAGCAGGGAUGCAGUCUGGGACACGUAGUUGCAAACCUAGCGACUUUGUUGUUAGAUUCAAUGACUUUUCAGACACCCUAACGACUUUUUUUUAGAAAGAAAGGGACUUUUAUCGACUUCUUCUGGAGUUUAGAGACUCUGACAUGAAGCAGGCUUUCCUUACUGAGGAGUUAGCAACGCUGCUAAGGGUGCAGAGCCACACAUGCGCUCAGAGCUCUGCAUGGGAGACUGAAGCUGACAGAGCUGCAGCAGUUAGCAGGUUUCACCCUCAGAGACCACCAGGGGUUCAUGUUGAGGCAUUUUAAUUUUUUUUUUUUUUUGUGCCAUAGACACUGUCAGCACAAUCUGCAGUUACACUAACAAAAAUGCUGCAAAAAACAAAGAAUUAUGGAAAAAUUACACAUGGACUGACAUAGAGGAGGAUCUACACAAGUUUUUUACAUCAUGUUUUACAUCAUGCAUCAUUUACAUCAUGUUUUUUUGUAGUGGCAUAAAUAAAAAGUGACAUUUGUGAGACUAUACAGUGUUUUGUAAAUAAUUUUACAAAGAACGCCUGGGCCAUUGCCUGCAUUUUGAUGUAAAUAGAGGUAAAUUACUAUGUUCUUUGUUAAAAAUUUGCAUAUGUUUUGAAGUUUACAAUUUUUAUUUGAAGUUUAAGUUUUAAAAACAGUUCAUCACACAUAUUUGUGUUUUAAUUUCACAUUAAUUUCCAUAUUGUAUAAAUGACUGGAAAAAACUUGAGCCCCUGCCCCUGUAUAAUCAUGUGCACGUCCCUGUUCUAGCUCCAAGCUGAAUCUUCACUGCUCAUGUUCUCCUCAGAAAUAGUCACCUCACUCCCCUCAGGUUACUGUACACAUGCACCAACUAUCUGCUUCAGGUUUGGAUGGAGCUUCAUGGUUGUCUUUUGGAGAAAUGAACAGUCAAGUUGUGUUUGAAAUCUGAUUUUUUUCAGGGGCAAAAGGAAGCCUCUGCAUUCUUGUCAAAUAUGUAAACAGCAUGUUUUUGCAGGUGCUAAAAAACAGACUCUGAGUGUGUGUGUGUGUGUGUGUGUGUGUGUGUGUGUGUGUGUGUGUGUGUGUGUGUGUGUGUAUGUGUGUGUAUCCUGCAGUACUCUGUACUCCUGCAGUGGCCAAAAAGACUUUUAAGAAUGUGGAUUUUUGGGUCAUCUUUGGCGCCCCCUAGAACUGCAGUACUCUGUACUCCUGCAGUGGCCAAAAUGACUUUUAAGAAUGUGGAUUUUUGGGUCAUCUUUGGUGCCCCCUAGAACGUAAACCGUGGGGUGCAGCGUCAUGAUUUUUACAACUUUGAAUGGGCAUGGGGUGUAGAUUGCCCUGAGCAAAUUUGGUAUCGGUGGGACGAAAGCCUUAGGAGGAGAUAGCCACAUUCCAAUGUGUGCGAAUCGGCAAAAAAUGCGAAAUAGCCCUUUAACCGUACAUUAUGCAGAUACGCGCUUUUUGACUUUUUCGUAGAUCUAAUUGAGAUACACGUGAUUGUCAAUUUUUGUGUCAGUAUGACAAAGCGUUCAGGCAUGACACUCAACAAUGUGUAUUUUCAUGUAAGGGGACAAGAAAAAAUGGACUUUUUUCUCCUGCCAUGGGGGGGCGCUCUUUUGGGGAGUAAAAAUUCCUUAGAUUGGCCUGAGCAAAUGUGGUGCCGGUCGAACGAAAGCCUUCGGAGGAGUUAGCGAAAUUCCAAUGUGUGCAGAUCUGCAAAAAAUGCAAAAUAACCCAUUAACCGUACAUUUGACAGAUACGCCCGCACUGACUUUUUUGUAGAUCUUAUUGAGAUACAUGUGUGUGUCAAUUUUUGUGUCAAUAUGACAAAGCGUACAGCUGUCAUGUGAAUUUUCACCUUAGGGGGCGCUAUGGAGCCAUUUUGCAUUUUAUUGUUUGGGCGACUUCAGAAUAUCGAAUUUUUCACCAGGCCCGGUCGUCCUGCCAAAUUUCCUGAGUUUUCGCCAGUGGGAAGUGGGCCAUUUUCCAGUUUAAAGCGGAGGAAAAAUAAUAACGAAAGAAGGAAACAUGCAGGAACAAGAGGGCUCUCGCAGCUGCUUAGCAGCUACGCUCGGGCCCUAAUAACACUAGGACCCCGUUGGGGCACUGGCGGGCCCGAGCCGUGUCGCGCCCCCCCCCCCCCCCCCCAACGUGCUGCCUCCCCGUCCCAUUUGUGUCCUCUGGCCAUCGCCCUCUCUGGUAACGCCCAUCACUGCAAAGACCCUUUUCCUUCAUCGGCGUUUGCUGUUCUUCCUGCCAGUGCGUGUUGCUUUCACUUACACUUGCCACAGCCAGCCUCGUGAGUGCCUAGCCUAUUGGAUAUCACUGUCACCUACACAGGACAGUCAUUACCUUUCUAUUAAUACUUUGUGUUUUAAUUUCACAUUAAUUUCCAUAUUGUAUAAACGACUGGAAAAAACUUGAGCCCCUGCCCCUGUAUAAUCAUGUGCAUGUCUCUGUUCUAGCUCCAAGGUGAAUCUUCACUGCUCAUGUUCUCCUCAGAAGCACUCACCUCACUCCCCUCAGGUUACUGUACACAUGCACCAACUGCCUGCUUCAGGUUUGGAUGGAGCUUCAUGGUUGUCUUUUGGAGAAAUGACCAGUCAAGUUGUGUUUGAAAUUUGAUUUUUUUCAGGGGCAAAAGGAGCCUCUGCAUUCUUGUCAAAUAUGUAAAUAGCAUGUUUUUGCAGGUGCUAAAAACCAGACUCUGAGUGUGUGUGUGUGUGUGUGUGUGUGUGUGUGUGUGUGUGUGUGUGUGUGUGUGUGUGUGUGUGUGUGUGUGUGUGUGUGUGUGUGUGUCUGUGUGGGCGUUCAAGUCACAUGACAUAUUUAAUCGGAUGUAGCUGCAAGACGGAGCCUCGUUGACUCUCCGUUUCAACUUAUCUCAAAAGUGAGGACCUCAACCUAUAUACCAGUUUUUAAAUUGUGUUGAUAGGCCAAAUAAAACCAGAGUUAUGAUAAAUUAUGUCCGCGAUACUUUUUUUCUGCUUAUUUUGAUCACGUUCGGCGCUCGAUCGCGCUGUAUGAGACAGGAAAACAUAGCAUGCAGACAUUAGCGACAGGUCUUACAGGCGGAAAAGGCUUGCCAAAAGAAAAAAAAAACACACCACAACAUCUCUCCUAUUGGUGGAAAACUUCACCACAACAACCAAUCCAAAAACAUGAGAAGCGAGGGAGGGACUCUCAGCAGGGAUGCAGUCUGGGACACGUAGUUGCAAACCUAGCGACUUUGUUGUUAGAUUCAAUGACUUUUCAGACCCCCUAACGACUUUUUUUUAGAAAGAAAGGGACUUUUAUCGACUUCUUCUGGAGUUUAGAGACUCUGACAUGAAGCAGGCUUUCCUUACUGAGGAGUUAGCAACGCUGCUAAGGGUGCAGAGCCACACAUGCGCUCAGAGCUCUGCAUGGGAGACUGAAGCUGACAGAGCUGCAGCAGUUAGCAGGUUUCACCCUCAGAGACCACCAGGGGUUCAUGUUGAGGCAUUUUAAUUUUUUUUUUUUUUUUUUGCCAUAGACACUGUCAGCACAAUCUGCAGUUACACUAACAAAAAUGCUGCAAAAAACAAAGAAUUAUGGAAGAAUUACACAUGGACUGACAUAGAGGAGGAUCUACACAAGUUUUUUACAUCAUGUUUUACAUCAUGCAUCAUUUACAUCAUGUUUUUUUGUAGUGGCAUAAAUAAAAAGUGACAUUUGUGAGACUAUACAGUGUUUUGUAAAUAAUUUUACAAAGAACGCCUGGGCCAUUGCCUGCAUUUUGAUGAAAAUAGAGGUAAAUCACUAUGUUCUUUGUUAAAAAUUUGCAUAUGUUUUGAAGUUUACAAUUUUUAUUUGAAGUUUAAGUUUUAAAAACAGUUCAUCACACAUAUUUGUGGUUUAAUUUCACAUUAAUUUCCAUAUUGUAUAAAUGACUGGAAAAAACUUGAGCCCCUGCCCCUGUAUAAUCAUGUGCACGUCCCUGUUCUAGCUCCAAGGUGAAUCUUCACUGCUCAUGUUCUCCUCAGAAAUAGUCACCUCACUCCCCUCAGGUUACUGUACACAUGCACCAACUAUCUGCUUCAGGUUUGAAAUGGAGCUUCAUGGUUGUCUUUUGGAGAAAUGAACAGUCAAGUUGUGUUUGAAAUUUGAUUUUUUUCAGGGGCAAAAGGAAGCCUCUGCAUUCUUGUCAAAUAUGUAAACAGCAUGUUUUUGCAGGUGCUAAAAAACAGACUCUGAGUGUGUGUGUGUGUCUGUGUGUGUGUGUGUGUGUGUGUGUGUGUGUGUGUGUAUGUUGGUGUGUGUGUAUAUGUGUGUGUAUCCUGCAGUACUCUGUACUCCUGCAGUGGCCAAAAAGACUUUUAAGAAUGUGGAUUUUUGGGUCAUCUUUGGCGCCCCCUAGAACUGCAGUACUGUACUCCUGCAGUGGCCAAAAUGACUUUUAAGAAUGUGGAUUUUUGGGUCAUCUUUGGCGCCCCCUAGAACGUAAACCGUGGGGUGCAGCGUCAUGAUUUUUACAACUUUGAAUGGGCAUGGGGUGUAGAUUGCCCUGAGCAAAUUUGGUAUCGGUGGGACGAAAGCCUUAGGAGGAGAUAGCCACAUUACAAUGUGUGCGAAUCGGCAAAAAAUGCAAAAUAGCCCUUUAACCGUACAUUAUAAAGAUACGCGCUCUUUGACUUUUUCGUAGAUCUAAUUGAGAUACACAUGAUUGUCAAUUUUUGUGUCAAUAUGACAAAGCGUUCAGGCGUGACACUCAACAAUGUGUAUUUUCAUGUAAGGGGACAAGAAAAAAUUGACUUUUUUCUCCUACCAUGGGGGGGCGCUCUUUUGGGGAGUAAAAAUUCCUUCACAAAUGUGUUGAUGGCUGGACAUUGCAUCAUCCUAGAAAACUUGGAGGCCAGUGAGGACAAAAAUAAAAAGUUAUAAAACAUUUAAGAAUGUGGAUUUUUGGGUUAUUUUUGGCGCCCCCUAGAACCUAAACCAUGGGGUGCAGCAUCAUGAUUUGAAUAACUUUUAAUGGCCAUGGGGUGUAGAUUGGCCUGAGCAAAUGUGGUGCCGGUGGAACGAAAGCCUUCGGAGGAGUUAGCGAAAUUCCAAUGUGUGCGUAUCGGCAAAAAAUGCGGAAUAACCCUUUAACUGUACAUUUGACAGAUACGCGCGCAUUGACUUUUUUGUAGAUCUUAUUGAGAUACAUGUGUGUGUCAAUUUUUGUGUAAUUUUGACAAAGCAUACAGGCGUGACAGUCAAUAGUGUGAAUUUUCACCUUAUGGGACAAGAAAAAAUGGACUUUUUUCUCCUGCCAUGGGGGGGCGCUCUUUUGGGGAGUAAAAAUUCCUUCACAAAUGUGUUGAUGGCUGGACAUUGCAUCAUCCUAGAAAACUUGGAGGCCAGUGAGGGCAAAAAUAAAAAGUUAUAAGACUUUGAAAUAUGUGGAUUUUAGGGUUAUCUUUGGCGCCCCCUAGAACCUAAACCGUGGGGUGCAGCGUCAUGAUUUGAAUAACUUUUAAUGGCCAUGGGGUGUAGAUUGGCCUGAGCAAAUGUGGUGCCGGUGGAACGAAAGCCUUCGGAGGAGUUAGCGAAAUUCCAAUGUGUGCGGAUUGGCAAAAAAUGCGCAAUAACCCUUUAACCGUACAUUUGACAGAUACGCCCGCACUGACUUUUUUGUAGAUCUUAUUGAGAUACAUGUGUGUGUCAAUUUUUGUGUCAUUUUGACAAAGCGUACAGGCGUCAGGUGAAUUUUUCACCUUAGGGGGCGCUAUGGAGCCAUUUUGCAUUGUAUUGUUUGGGCGACUUCAGAAUAUCAAAUUUUUCACCAGGCCCGGUCAUCCUGCCAAAUUUCAUGAGUUUUCGCCAGUGGGAAGUGGGCCAUUUUCCAGUUCAAAGGGGAGGAAAAAGAAAAAACUAGGGCCCCGUUGGGGCACUGGCGGGCCCGAGCUGUGUCGCGCCGCCCCCAACACGACCGCCUCUCCCUCCCGAUCGCAUCACACUCAAGGUCCAAAGAUGGUGUGCGCACUUGUCUGUGGUCAUUUACCAUUAUAAUGAAUGGGAGGCGCAGUUUCUACCAAAACGCUCGCUGCAGACAAACUCCAUGUCCUAUUUGAAAAAAGUCUGGACCAUGAGUGAGGGCACAAACACAGCUAGGAUAUAUCCAAAUGGCAAGUUGUUACUCCUUUCGGUUUUGCCGAGAGGGCGAUGUGUUUGAGCCAUUGAGCGAUGGGCAGGAAAAACUGGACUUUUUCUCCUACCAUGGGGGGGCACUCUUUUAGGGAGUAAAAAUUCCUUCACAAAUGUGUUGAUGGCUAGACAUUGCAUCAUCCUAGAAAACUUGGAAGCCAGUCAGGACAAAAAUAAUAAGUUAUAAGACUUUUAAGAAUGUGGAUUUUUGGGUUAUCUUUGGCGCCCCCUAGAACGUAAACCGUGGGGUGCAGCAUCAUGAUUUUUACAACUUUGAAUGGCCAUGGGGUGUAGAUUGGCCUGAGCAAAUUUGGUGCCGGUGGAACGAAAGCCUUCAGAGGAGUUAGCGAAAUUCCAAUGUGUGCGUAUCGGCAAAAAAUGCGAAAUAGCCCUUUAACCGUACAUUGAACAGAAACGCCCGCGCUGACUUUUUUGUAGAUCUUAUUGAGAUACACGUGUGUGUCAAAUUUUGUGUCAAUAUGACAAAGCGUAUAGGCGUGACACUCAACAAUAUGUAUUUUCACCUUAGGGGACAAGAAAAAAUGGACCUUUUUCUCCUGCCAUGGGGGGGCGCUCUUUUGGGGAGUAAAAAUUCCUUCACAAAUGUGUUGAUGGCUGGACAUUGCAUCAUCCUAGAAAACUUGGAGGCCAGUGAGGACAAAAGUAAAAAGUUAUAAGACUUUUAAGAAUGUGGAUUUUUGGGUUAUCUUUGGCGCCCCCUAGAACGUAAACCGUGGGGUGCAGCGUCAUGAUUUGUACAACUUUGAAUGGCCAUGGGGUGUAGAUUGGCCUGAGCAAAUUUGGUGCCGGUGGAACGAAAGCCUUCGGAGGAGUUAGCGAAAUUCCAAUGUGUGCGGAUCGGCAAAAAAUGCGAAAUAGCCCUUUAACCGUACAUUUGACAGAUACGCCCGCGCUGACUUUUUUGUAGAUCUUAUUGAGAUACACGUGUGUGUCAAAUUUUGUGUCAUUUUGACAAAGCGUACAGGCGUGACACUCAAUCAUGUGAAUUUUUCACCUUAGGGGGCGCUAUGGAGCCAUUUUGCAUUUGAUUGUUUGGGCGGCUUCAGAAUAUCGAAUUUUUCACCAGGCCCGGUUGUCCUGCCAAAUUUCAUGAGUUUUCACCAGUGGGAAGUGGGCCAUUUUCCAGUUCAAAGGGGCAGAAAAAUAAUAAGAAGAAGAAGAAGAACUAGGACCCCGUUGGGGCACUGGCGGGCCCGAGCCGUGUCGCGUUGGAUAUCACUGUCACCUACACAGGACAGUCAUUACCUUUCUAUUAAUACUUUGUGUUUUAAUUUCACAUUAAUUUCCAUAUUGUAUAAACGACUGGAAAAAACUUGAGCCCCUGCCCCUGUAUAAUCAUGUGCAUGUCUCUGUUCUAGCUCCAAGGUGAAUCUUCACUGCUCAUGUUCUCCUCAGAAGCACUCACCUCACUCCCCUCAGGUUACUGUACACAUGCACCAACUGCCUGCUUCAGGUUUGGAUGGAGCUUCAUGGUUGUCUUUUGGAGAAAUGACCAGUCAAGUUGUGUUUGAAAUUUGAUUUUUUUCAGGGGCAAAAGGAGCCUCUGCAUUCUUGUCAAAUAUGUAAAUAGCAUGUUUUUGCAGGUGCUAAAAACCAGACUCUGAGUGUGUGUGUGUGUGUGUGUGUGUGUGUGUGUGCGUGUGUGUGUGUCUAUGUGUGCGUUCAAGUCACAUGACAUAUUUAACCGGAUGUAGCUGCAAGACGGAGCCUCGUUGACUCUCCGUUUCAACUUAUCUCAAAAGUGAGGACCUCAACCUAUAUACCAGUUUUUAAAUUGUGUUGAUAGGCCAAAUAAAACCAGAGUUAUGAUAAAUUAUGUCCGCGAUACUUUUUUUCUGCUUAUUUUGAUCACGUUCGGCGCUCGAUCGCGCUGUAUGAGACAGGAAAACAUAGCAUGCAGACAUUAGGGACAGGUCUUACAGGCGGAAAAGGCUUGCCAAAAGAAAAAAAAAACACACCACAACAUCUCUCCUAUUGGUGGAAAACUUCACCACAACAACCAAUCCAAAAUUAUAUGGUGACUGAUUGACAAGGGGCGGGCGCUUACGUUCUUCCUGCAACAUGAGAAGCGAGGGAGGGACUCUCAGCAGGGAUGCAGUCUGGGACACGUAGUUGCAAACCUAGCGACUUUGUUGUUAGAUUCAAUGACUUUUCAGACCCCCUAACGACUUUUUUUUAGAAAGAAAGGGACUUUUAUCGACUUCUUCUGGAGUUUAGAGACUCUGACAUGAAGCAGGCUUUCCUUACUGAGGAGUUAGCAACGCUGCUAAGGGUGCAGAGCCACACAUGCGCUCAGAGCUCUGCAUGGGAGACUGAAGCUGACAGAGCUGCAGCAGUUAGCAGGUUUCACCCUCAGAGACCACCAGGGGUUCAUGUUGAGGCAUUUUAAUUUUUUUUUUUUUUUUGCCAUAGACACUGUCAGCACAAUCUGCAGUUACACUAACAAAAAUGCUGCAAAAAACAAAGAAUUAUGGAAAAAUUACACAUGGACUGACAUAGAGGAGGAUCUACACAAGUUUUUUACAUCAUGUUUUACAUCAUGCAUCAUUUACAUCAUGUUUUUUUGUAGUGGCAUAAAUAAAAAGUGACAUUUGUGAGACUAUACAUUGUUUUGUAAAUAAUUUUACAAAGAACGCCUAGGCCAUUGCCUGCAUUUUGAUGUAAAUAGAGGUAAAUUACUAUGUUCUUUGUUAAAAAUUUGCAUAUGUUUUGAAGUUUACAAUUUUUAUUUGAAGUUUAAGUUUUAAAAACAGUUCAUCACACAUAUUUGUGGUUUAAUUUCACAUUAAUUUCCAUAUUGUAUAAAUGACUGGAAAAAACUUGAGCCCCUGUAUAAUCAUGUGCACGUCCCUGUUCUAGCUCCAAGGUGAAUCUUCACUGCUCAUGUUCUCCUCAGAAAUAGUCACCUCACUCCCCUCAGGUUACUGUACACAUGCACCAACUAUCUGCUUCAGGUUUGAAAUGGAGCUUCAUGGUUGUCUUUUGGAGAAAUGAACGGUCAAGUUGUGUUUGAAAUUUGAUUUUUUUCAGGGGCAAAAGGAAGCCUCUGCAUUCUUGUCAAAUAUGUAAACAGCAUGUUUUUGCAGGUGCUAAAAAACAGACUCUGAGUGUGGGUGUGUGUCUGUGUGUGUGUGUGUGUGUGUGUGUGUAUGUUGGCGUGUGUGUAUAUGUGUGUGUAUCCUGCAGUACUCUGUACUCCUGCAGUGGCCAAAAAGACUUUUAAGAAUGUGGAUUUUUGGGUCAUCUUUGGCGCCCCCUAGAACUGCAGUACUCUGUACUCCUGCAGUGGCCAAAAUGACUUUUAAGAAUGUGGAUUUUUGGGUCAUCUUUGGCGCCCCCUAGAACCUAAACCGUGGGGUGCAGCGUCAUGAUUUUUACAACUUUGAAUGGGCAUGGGGUGUAGAUUGCCCUGAGCAAAUUUGGUAUCGGUGGGACGAAAGCCUUAGGAGGAGAUAGCCACAUUCCAAUGUGUGCGAAUCAGCAAAAAAUGCAAAAUAACCCUUUAACCGUACAUUAUACAGAUACGCGCUCUUUGACUUUUUCGUAGAUCUAAUUAAGAUACACAUGAUUGUCAAUUUUUGUGUCAAUAUGACAAAGCGUAUAGGCGUGAAUCUCAACAAUAUGUAUUUUCACCUUAGUGGACAAGAAAAAAUGGACUUUUUUCUCCUGCCAUGGGGGGGCGCUCUUUUGGAGAGUAAAAAUUCCUUCACAAAUGUGUUGAUGGCUGGACAUUGCAUCAUCCUAGAAAACUUGGAGGCCAGUGGGGACAAAAAUAAAAAGUUAUAAGACUUUUAAAUAUGUGGAUUUUACGGUUAUCUUUGGCGCCCCCUAGAACCUAAACCGUGGGGUGCAGCGUCAUGAUUUGAAUAACUUUUAAUGGCCAUGGGGUGUAGAUUGGCCUGAGCAAAUGUGGUGCCGGUGGAACGAAAGCCUUCGGAGGAGUUAGCGAAAUUCCAAUGUGUGCGGAUCGGCAAAAAAUGCGGAAUAACCCUUUAACUGUACAUUUGACAGAUACGCGCGCAUUGACUUUUUCGUAGAUCUUAUUGAGAUACAUGUGUGUGUCAAUUUUUGUGUCAUUUUGCCAAAGCGUACAGGUGUUACACUCAACAAUGUGUAUUUUCAUGUAAGGGGACAAGAAAAAAUGGACUUUUUUCUCCUGCCAUGGGGGGGGCGCUCUUUUGGGGAGUAAAAAUUCCUUCACAAAUGUGUUGAUGGCUGGACAUUGCAUCAUCCUAGAAAACUUGGAGGGCAGUGAGGACAAAAAUAAAAAGUUAUAAGACUUUUAAGAAUGUGGAUAUUUGGGUUAUCUUUGGCGCCCCCUAGAACCUAAACCGUGGGGUGCAGCGUCAUGAUUUGUACAACUUUUAAUGGCCAUGGGGGGUAGAUUGGCCUGCGCAAAUGUGGUGCCGGUCGAACGAAAGCCUUCGGAGGAGUUAGCGAAAUUCCAAUGUGUGCAGAUCUGCAAAAAAUGCAAAAUAACCCAUUAACCGUACAUUUGACAGAUACGCCCGCACUGACUUUUUUGUAGAUCUUAUUGAGAUACAUGUGUGUGUCAAUUUUUGUGUCAAUAUGACAAAGCGUACAGCCGUCAUGUGAAUUUUCACCUUAGGGGGCGCUAUGGAGCCAUUUUGCAUUUUAUUGUUUGGGCGACUUCAGAAUAUCGAAUUUUUCACCAGGCCCGGUCGUCCUGCCAAAUUUCCUGAGUUUUUGCCAGUGGGAAGUGGGCCAUUUUCCAGUUUAAAGCGGAGGAAAAAUAAUAACGAAAGAAGGAAACAUGCAGGAACAAGAGGGCUCUCGCAGCUGCUUAGCAGCUACGCUCGGGCCCUAAAGAAGAAUCCAUCAGGAACAACAGGGCUCUCGCAGCUGCUUAGCAGCUACGCUCGGGCCCUAAAAAGAAGGAAACAUGCAGGAACAAGAGGGCUCUCGCAGCUGCUUAGCAGCUACGCUCGGGCCCUAAAAAGAAAGAAAGAAACAAAGAAAAACCACUUGGGGAAUAAUAGGGCCUACGCCCGGCUGCUCUGCAGCUGGCUCGGGCCCUAAAGAAAGAAACAAAGAAAAACCACUUGGGGAAUAAUAGGGCUCUCGCAGCUGCUUAGCAGCUACGCUCGGGCCCUAAAGAAAGAAAGAAACAAAGAAAAACCACUUGGGGAAUAAUAGGGCUCUCGCAGCUGCUUAGCAGCUACGCUCGGGCCCUAAAGAAAGAAACAAAGAAAAACCACUUGGGGAAUAAUAGGGCUCUCGCAGCUGCUUAGCAGAUAAAUAAAACCAGAGUUAUGAUAAAUUAUGUCCGCGAUACUUUUUUUCUGCUUAUUUUGAUCACGUUCGGCGCUCGAUCGCGCUGUAUGAGACAGGAAAACAUAGCAUGCAGACAUUAGCGACAGGUCUUACAGGCGGAAAAGGCUUGCCAAAAGAAAAAAAAAACACACCACAACAUCUCUCCUAUUGGUGGAAAACUUCACCACAACAACCAAUCCAAAAUUAUAUGGUGACUGAUUGACAAGGGGCGGGCGCUUACGUUCUUCCUGCAACAUGAGAAGCGAGGGAGGGACUCUCAGCAGGGAUGCAGUCUGGGACACGUAGUUGCAAACCUAGCGACUUUGUUGUUAGAUUCAAUGACUUUUCAGACCCCCUAACGACUUUUUUUUUUAGAAAGAAAGGGAAUUUUAUCGACUUCCUCUGGAGUUUAGAGACUCUGACAUGAAGCAGGCUUUCCUUACUGAGGAGUUAGCAACGCUGCUAAGGGUGCAGAGCCACACAUGCGCUCCGAGCUCUGCAUGGGAGACUAAAGCUGACAGAGCUGCAGCAGUUAGCAGGUUUCACCCUCAGAGACCACCAGGGGUUCAUGUUGAGGCAUUUUCAGUUUUUUUUUUUUUUUUUGCCAUAGACACUGUCAGCACAAUCUGCAGUUACACUAACAAAAAUGCUGCAAAAAACAAAGAAUUAUGGAAAAAUUACACAUGGACUGACAUAGAGGAGGAUCUACACAAGUUUUUUACAUCAUGUUUUACAUCAUGCAUCAUUUACAUCAUGUUUUUUUGUAGUGGCAUAAAUAAAAAGUGACAUUUGUGAGACUAUACAGUGUUUUGUAAAUAAUUUUACAAAGAACGCCUGGGCCAUUGCCUGCAUUUUGAUGUAAAUAGAGGUAAAUUACUAUGUUCUUUGUUAAAAAUUUGCAUAUGUUUUGAAGUUUACAAUUUUUAUUUGAAGUUUAAGUUUUAAAAACAGUUCAUCACACAUAUUUGUGGUUUAAUUUCACAUUAAUUUCCAUAUUGUAUAAAUGACUGGAAAAAACUUGAGCCCCUGCCCCUGUAUAAUCAUGUGCACGUCCCUGUUCUAGCUCCAAGGUGAAUCUUCACUGCUCAUGUUCUCCUCAGAAAUAGUCACCUCACUCCCCUCAGGUUACUGUACACAUGCACCAACUAUCUGCUUCAGGUUUGAAAUGGAGCUUCAUGGUUGUCUUUUGGAGAAAUGAACAGUCAAGUUGUGUUUGAAAUUUGAUUUUUUUCAGGGGCAAAAGGAAGCCUCUGCAUUCUUGUCAAAUAUGUAAACAGCAUGUUUUUGCAGGUGCUAAAAAACAGACUCUGAGUGUGUGUGUGUGUCUGUGUGUGUGUGUGUGUGUGUGUGUGUGUGUAUAUGUUGGCGUGUGUGUAUAUGUGUGUGUAUCCUGCAGUACUCUGUACUCCUGCAGUGGCCAAAAAGACUUUUAAGAAUGUGGAUUUUUGGGUCAUCUUUGGCGCCCCCUAGAACUGCAGUACUCUGUACUCCUGCAGUGGCCAAAAUGACUUUUAAGAAUGUGGAUUUUUGGGUCAUCUUUGGCGCCCCCUAGAACGUAAACCGUGGGGUGCAGCGUCAUGAUUUUUACAACUUUGAAUGGGCAUGGGGUGUAGAUUGCCCUGAGCAAAUUUGGUAUCGGUGGGACGAAAGCCUUAGGAGGAGAUAGCCACAUUCCAAUGUGUGCGAAUCGGCAAAAAAUGCAAAAUAGCCCUUUAACCGUACAUUAUACAGAUACGCGCUCUUUGACUUUUUCGUAGAUCUAAUUGAGAUACACAUGAUUGUCAAUUUUUGUGUCAAUAUGGCAAAGCGUUCAGGCGUGACACUCAACAAUGUGUAUUUUUAUGUAAGGGGACAAGAAAAAAUUGACUUUUUUCUCCUACCAUGGGGGGGCGCUCUUUUGGGGAGUAAAAAUUCCUUCACAAAUGUGUUGAUGGCUGGACAUUGCAUCAUCCUAGAAAACUUGGAGGCCAGUGAGGACAAAAAUAAAAAGUUAUAAAACAUUUAAGAAUGUGGAUUUUUGGGUUAUUUUUGGCGCCCCCUAGAACCUAAACCAUGGGGUGCAGCAUCAUGAUUUGAAUAACUUUUAAUGGCCAUGGGGUGUAGAUUGGCCUGAGCAAAUGUGGUGCCGGUGGAACGAAAGCCUUCGGAGGAGUUAGCGAAAUUCCAAUGUGUGCGUAUCGGCAAAAAAUGCGGAAUAACCCUUUAACUGUACAUUUGACAGAUACGCGCGCAUGGACUUUUUUGUAGAUCUUAUUGAGUUACAUGUGUGUGUCAAUUUUUGUGUCAUUUUGACAAAGCGUAUAGGCGUGACACUCAACAAUGUGUAUUUUCACCUUAGGGGACAAGAAAAAAUUGACUUUUUUCUCCUGCCAUGGGGGGGCGCUCUUUUGGGGAGUAAAAAUUCCUUCACAAAUGUGUUGAUGGCUGGACAUUGCAUCAUCCUAGAAAACUUGGAGGCCAGUGAGGACAAAAAUAAAAAGUUAUAAGACUUUUAAAUAUGUGGAUUUUAGUGUUAUCUUUGGCGCCCCCUAGAACCUAAACCUUGGGGUGCAGCGUCAUGAUUUUGAUAACUUUUAAUGGCCACAGGGUGUAGAUUGGCCUGAGCCAAUGUGGUGCCGGUGGAACGAAAGCCUUCGGAGGAGUUAGCGAAAUUCCAAUGUGUGCGGAUCGGCAAAAAAUGCGAAAUAACCCUUUAACCGUAAUUUUGACAGAUACGGCCGCACUGACUUUUUUGUAGAUCUUAUUGAGAUACAUAUGUGUGUCAAUUUUUGUGUCAAUAUGACAAAGCGUACAGGCGUGACAGUCAAUAGUGUGAAUUUCCACCUUAGGGGGCGCUAUGGAGCCAUUUUGCAUUUUAUUGUUUGGGCGACUUCAGAAUAUCGAAUUUUUCACCAGGCCCGGUCGUCCUGCCAAAUUUCAUGAGUUUUCGCCAGUGGGAAGUGGGCCAUUUUCCAGUUCAAAGGGGAGGAAAAAGAAGAAAGAAAGAAAGAAAGAAAGAAAGAACUAGGACCCCGUUGGGGCACUGGCGGGCCCGAGCCGUGUCGCGUCCCCCCUCAACGUGCUGCCUCCCCGUCCCAUUUGUGUCCUCUGGCCAUCGCCCUCUCUGGUAACGCCCAUCACUGCAAAGACCCUUUUCCUUCAUCGGCGUUUGCUGUUCUUCCUGCCAGUGCGUGUUGCUUUCACUUACACUUGCCACAGCCAGCCUCGUGAGUGCCUAGCCUAUUGGAUAUCACUGUCACCUACACAGGACAGUCAUUACCUUUCUAUUAAUACUUUGUGUUUUAAUUUCACAUUAAUUUCCAUAUUGUAUAAACGACUGGAAAAAACUUGAGCCCCUGCCCCUGUAUAAUCAUGUGCAUGUCUCUGUUCUAGCUCCAAGGUGAAUCUUCACUGCUCAUGUUCUCCUCAGAAGCACUCACCUCACUCCCCUCAGGUUACUGUACACAUGCACCAACAUCCUGCUUCAGGUUUGGAUGGAGCUUCAUGGUUGUCUUUUGGAGAAAUGACCAGUCAAGUUGUGUUUGAAAUUUGAUUUUUUUCAGGGGCAAAAGGAGCCUCUGCAUUCUUGUCAAAUAUGUAAAUAGCAUGUUUUUGCAGGUGCUAAAAACCAGACUCUGAGUGUGUGUGUGUGUGUGUGUGUGUGUGUGUGUGUGUGUGUGUGUGUGUGUGUCUAUGUGUGCGUUCAAAUCACAUGACAUAUUUAACCGGAUGUAGCUGCAAGACGGAGCCUCGUUGACUCUCCGUUUCAACUUAUCUCAAAAGUGAGGACCUCAACCUAUAUACCAGUUUUUAAAUUGUGUUGAUAGGCCAAAUAAAACCAGAGUUAUGAUAAAUUAUGUCCGCGAUACUUUUUUUCUGCUUAUUUUGAUCACGUUCUGCGCUCGAUCGCGCUGUAUGAGACAGGAAAACAUAGCAUGCAGACAUUAGCGACAGGUCUUACAGGCGGAAAAGGCUUGCCAAAGGAAAAAAAAAACACACCACAACAUCUCUCCUAUUGGUGGAAAACUUCACCACAACAACCAAUCCAAAAUUAUAUGGUGAGUGAUUGACAAGGGGCGGGCGCUUACGUUCUUCCUGCAACAUGAGAAGGGAGGGAGGGACUCUCAGCAGGGAUGCAGUCUGGGACACGUAGUUGCAAACCUAGCGACUUUGUUGUUAGAUUCAAUGACUUUUCAGACCCCCUAACGACUUUUUUUUAGAAAGAAAGGGACUUUUAUCGACUUCUUCUGGAGUUUAGAGACUCUGACAUGAAGCAGGCUUUCCUUACUGAGGAGUUAGCAACGCUGCUAAGGGUGCAGAGCCACACAUGCGCUCCGAGCUCUGCAUGGGAGACUGAAGCUGACAGAGCUGCAGCAGUUAGCAGGUUUCACCCUCAGAGACCACCAGGGGUUCAUGUUGAGGCAUUUUAAUUUUUUUUUUUUUUUGUGCCAUAGACACUGUCAGCACAAUCUGCAGUUACACUAACAAAAAUGCUGCAAAAAACAAAGAAUUAUGGAAAAAUUACACAUGGACUGACAUAGAGGAGGAUCUACACAAGUUUUUUACAUCAUGUUUUACAUCAUGCAUCAUUUACAUCAUGUUUUUUUGUAGUGGCAUAAAUAAAAAGUGACAUUUGUGAGACUAUACAGUGUUUUGUAAAUAAUUUUACAAAGAACGCCUGGGCCAUUGCCUGCAUUUUGAUGUAAAUAGAGGUAAAUUACUAUGUUCUUUGUUAAAAAUUUGCAUAUGUUUUGAAGUUUACAAUUUUUAUUUGAAGUUUAAGUUUUAAAAACAGUUCAUCACACAUAUUUGUGGUUUAAUUUCACAUUAAUUUCCAUAUUGUAUAAAUGACUGGAAAAAACUUGAGCCCCUGCCCCUGUAUAAUCAUGUGCACGUCCCUGUUCUAGCUCCAAGGUGAAUCUUCACUGCUCAUGUUCUCCUCAGAAAUAGUCACCUCACUCCCCUCAGGUUACUGUACACAUGCACCAACUAUCUGCUUCAGGUUUGAAAUGGAGCUUCAUGGUUGUCUUUUGGAGAAAUGAACAGUCAAGUUGUGUUUGAAAUUUGAUUUUUUUCAGGGGCAAAAGGAAGCCUCUGCAUUCUUGUCAAAUAUGUAAACAGCAUGUUUUUGCAGGUGCUAAAAAACAGACUCUGAGUGUGUGUGUGUGUCUGUGUGUGUGUGUGUGUGUGUGUGUGUGUGUGUAUAUGUUGGCGUGUGUGUAUAUGUGUGUGUAUCCUGCAGUACUCUGUACUCCUGCAGUGGCCAAAAAGACUUUUAAGAAUGUGGAUUUUUGGGUCAUCUUUGGCGCCCCCUAGAACUGCAGUACUCUGUACUCCUGCAGUGGCCAAAAUGACUUUUAAGAAUGUGGAUUUUUGGGUCAUCUUUGGCGCCCCCUAGAACGUAAACCGUGGGGUGCAGCGUCAUGAUUUUUACAACUUUGAAUGGGCAUGGGGUGUAGAUUGCCCUGAGCAAAUUUGGUAUCGGUGGGACGAAAGCCUUAGGAGGAGAUAGCCACAUUCCAAUGUGUGCGAAUCGGCAAAAAAUGCAAAAUAGCCCUUUAACCGUACAUUAUACAGAUACGCGCUCUUUGACUUUUUCGUAGAUCUAAUUGAGAUACACAUGAUUGUCAAUUUUUGUGUCAAUAUGGCAAAGCGUUCAGGCGUGACACUCAACAAUGUGUAUUUUUAUGUAAGGGGACAAGAAAAAAUUGACUUUUUUCUCCUACCAUGGGGGGGCGCUCUUUUGGGGAGUAAAAAUUCCUUCACAAAUGUGUUGAUGGCUGGACAUUGCAUCAUCCUAGAAAACUUGGAGGCCAGUGAGGACAAAAAUAAAAAGUUAUAAAACAUUUAAGAAUGUGGAUUUUUGGGUUAUUUUUGGCGCCCCCUAGAACCUAAACCAUGGGGUGCAGCAUCAUGAUUUGAAUAACUUUUAAUGGCCAUGGGGUGUAGAUUGGCCUGAGCAAAUGUGGUGCCGGUGGAACGAAAGCCUUCGGAGGAGUUAGCGAAAUUCCAAUGUGUGCGUAUCGGCAAAAAAUGCGGAAUAACCCUUUAACUGUACAUUUGACAGAUACGCGCGCAUGGACUUUUUUGUAGAUCUUAUUGAGUUACAUGUGUGUGUCAAUUUUUGUGUCAUUUUGACAAAGCGUAUAGGCGUGACACUCAACAAUGUGUAUUUUCACCUUAGGGGACAAGAAAAAAUUGACUUUUUUCUCCUGCCAUGGGGGGGCGCUCUUUUGGGGAGUAAAAAUUCCUUCACAAAUGUGUUGAUGGCUGGACAUUGCAUCAUCCUAGAAAACUUGGAGGCCAGUGAGGACAAAAAUAAAAAGUUAUAAGACUUUUAAAUAUGUGGAUUUUAGUGUUAUCUUUGGCGCCCCCUAGAACCUAAACCUUGGGGUGCAGCGUCAUGAUUUUGAUAACUUUUAAUGGCCACAGGGUGUAGAUUGGCCUGAGCCAAUGUGGUGCCGGUGGAACGAAAGCCUUCGGAGGAGUUAGCGAAAUUCCAAUGUGUGCGGAUCGGCAAAAAAUGCGAAAUAACCCUUUAACCGUAAUUUUGACAGAUACGGCCGCACUGACUUUUUUGUAGAUCUUAUUGAGAUACAUAUGUGUGUCAAUUUUUGUGUCAAUAUGACAAAGCGUACAGGCGUGACAGUCAAUAGUGUGAAUUUCCACCUUAGGGGGCGCUAUGGAGCCAUUUUGCAUUUUAUUGUUUGGGCGACUUCAGAAUAUCGAAUUUUUCACCAGGCCCGGUCGUCCUGCCAAAUUUCAUGAGUUUUCGCCAGUGGGAAGUGGGCCAUUUUCCAGUUCAAAGGGGAGGAAAAAGAAGAAAGAAAGAAAGAAAGAAAGAAAGAACUAGGACCCCGUUGGGGCACUGGCGGGCCCGAGCCGUGUCGCGUCCCCCCUCAACGUGCUGCCUCCCCGUCCCAUUUGUGUCCUCUGGCCAUCGCCCUCUCUGGUAACGCCCAUCACUGCAAAGACCCUUUUCCUUCAUCGGCGUUUGCUGUUCUUCCUGCCAGUGCGUGUUGCUUUCACUUACACUUGCCACAGCCAGCCUCGUGAGUGCCUAGCCUAUUGGAUAUCACUGUCACCUACACAGGACAGUCAUUACCUUUCUAUUAAUACUUUGUGUUUUAAUUUCACAUUAAUUUCCAUAUUGUAUAAACGACUGGAAAAAACUUGAGCCCCUGCCCCUGUAUAAUCAUGUGCAUGUCUCUGUUCUAGCUCCAAGGUGAAUCUUCACUGCUCAUGUUCUCCUCAGAAGCACUCACCUCACUCCCCUCAGGUUACUGUACACAUGCACCAACAUCCUGCUUCAGGUUUGGAUGGAGCUUCAUGGUUGUCUUUUGGAGAAAUGACCAGUCAAGUUGUGUUUGAAAUUUGAUUUUUUUCAGGGGCAAAAGGAGCCUCUGCAUUCUUGUCAAAUAUGUAAAUAGCAUGUUUUUGCAGGUGCUAAAAACCAGACUCUGAGUGUGUGUGUGUGUGUGUGUGUGUGUGUGUGUGUGUGUGUGUGUGUGUGUGUCUAUGUGUGCGUUCAAAUCACAUGACAUAUUUAACCGGAUGUAGCUGCAAGACGGAGCCUCGUUGACUCUCCGUUUCAACUUAUCUCAAAAGUGAGGACCUCAACCUAUAUACCAGUUUUUAAAUUGUGUUGAUAGGCCAAAUAAAACCAGAGUUAUGAUAAAUUAUGUCCGCGAUACUUUUUUUCUGCUUAUUUUGAUCACGUUCUGCGCUCGAUCGCGCUGUAUGAGACAGGAAAACAUAGCAUGCAGACAUUAGCGACAGGUCUUACAGGCGGAAAAGGCUUGCCAAAGGAAAAAAAAAACACACCACAACAUCUCUCCUAUUGGUGGAAAACUUCACCACAACAACCAAUCCAAAAUUAUAUGGUGACUGAUUGACAAGGGGCGGGCGCUUACGUUCUUCCUGCAACAUGAGAAGGGAGGGAGGGACUCUCAGCAGGGAUGCAGUCUGGGACACGUAGUUGCAAACCUAGCGACUUUGUUGUUAGAUUCAAUGACUUUUCAGACCCCCUAACGACUUUUUUUAGAAAGAAAGGGACUUUUAUCGACUUCUUCUGGAGUUUAGAGACUCUGACAUGAAGCAGGCUUUCCUUACUGAGGAGUUAGCAACGCUGCUAAGGGUGCAGAGCCACACAUGCGCUCCGAGCUCUGCAUGGGAGACUGAAGCUGACAGAGCUGCAGCAGUUAGCAGGUUUCACCCUCAGAGACCACCAGGGGUUCAUGUUGAGGCAUUUUAAUUUUUUUUUUUUUUUUGUGCCAUAGACACUGUCAGCACAAUCUGCAGUUACACUAACAAAAAUGCUGCAAAAAACAAAGAAUUAUGGAAAAAUUACACAUGGACUGACAUAGAGGAGGAUCUACACAAGUUUUUUACAUCAUGUUUUACAUCAUGCAUCAUUUACAUCAUGUUUUUUUGUAGUGGCAUAAAUAAAAAGUGACAUUUGUGAGACUAUACAGUGUUUUGUAAAUAAUUUUACAAAGAACGCCUGGGCCAUUGCCUGCAUUUUGAUGUAAAUAGAGGUAAAUUACUAUGUUCUUUGUUAAAAAUUUGCAUAUGUUUUGAAGUUUACAAUUUUUAUUUGAAGUUUAAGUUUUAAAAACAGUUCAUCACACAUAUUUGUGGUUUAAUUUCACAUUAAUUUCCAUAUUGUAUAAAUGACUGGAAAAAACUUGAGCCCCUGCCCCUGUAUAAUCAUGUGCACGUCCCUGUUCUAGCUCCAAGGUGAAUCUUCACUGCUCAUGUUCUCCUCAGAAAUAGUCACCUCACUCCCCUCAGGUUACUGUACACAUGCACCAACUAUCUGCUUCAGGUUUGAAAUGGAGCUUCAUGGUUGUCUUUUGGAGAAAUGAACAGUCAAGUUGUGUUUGAAAUUUGAUUUUUUUCAGGGGCAAAAGGAAGCCUCUGCAUUCUUGUCAAAUAUGUAAACAGCAUGUUUUUGCAGGUGCUAAAAAACAGACUCUGAGUGUGUGUGUGUGUGUGUGUGUGUGUGUGUGUGUGUGUGUAUGUUGGCGUGUGUGUAUAUGUGUGUGUAUCCUGCAGUACUCUGUACUCCUGCAGUGGCCAAAAAGACUUUUAAGAAUGUGGAUUUUUGGGUCAUCUUUGGCGCCCCCUAGAACUGCAGUACUCUGUACUCCUGCAGUGGCCAAAAUGACUUUUAAGAAUGUGGAUUUUUGGGUCAUCUUUGGCGCCCCCUAGAACGUAAACCGUGGGGUGCAGCGUCAUGAUUUUUACAACUUUGAAUGGGCAUGGGGUGUAGAUUGCCCUGAGCAAAUUUGGUAUCGGUGGGACGAAAGCCUUAGGAGGAGAUAGCCACAUUCCAAUGUGUGCGAAUCGGCAAAAAAUGCGAAAUAGCCCUUUAACCGUACAUUAUACAGAUACGCGCUCUUUGACUUUUUCGUAGAUCUAAUUGAGAUACACAUGAUUGUCAAUUUUUGUGUCAAUAUGACAAAGCGUUCAGGCGUGACACUCAACAAUGUGUAUUUUUAUGUAAGGGGACAAGAAAAAAUGGACUUUUUUCUCCUGCCAUGGGGGGGCGCUCUUUUGGGGAGUAAAAAUUCCUUCACAAAUGUGUUGAUGGCUGGACAUUGCAUCAUCCUAGAAAACUUGGAGGCCAGUGAGGACAAAAAUAAAAAGUUAUAAGACUUUUAAAUAUGUGGAUUUUAGGGUUAUCUUUGGCGCCCCCUAGAACCUAAACCGUGGGGUGCAGCGUCAUGAUUUUGAUAACUUUUAAUGGCCAUGGGGUGUAGAUUGGCCUGAGAAAAUGUGGUGCCGGUGGAACGAAAGCCUUAGGAGGAGUAAGCGAAAUUCCAAUGUGUGCGGAUCGGCAAAAAAUGCGGAAUAACCCUUUAACCGUACAUUUGACAGAUAUGCGCGCAUUGACUUUUUCGUAGAUCUUCUUGAGUUACAUGUGUGUGUCAAUUUUUGUGUCAUUUUGACAAAGCGUAUAGGCGUGACACUCAACAAUGUGUAUUUUCACCUUAGGGGACAAGAAAAAAUGGACUUUUUUCUCCUGCCAUGGGGGGGCGCUCUUUUGGGGAGUAAAAAUUCCUUCACAAAUGUGUUGAUGGCUGGACAUUGCAUCAUCCUAGAAAACUUGGAGGCCAGUGAGGACAAAAAUAAAAAGUUAUAAGACUUUUAAAUAUGUGGAUUUUAGGGUUAUCUUUGGCGCCCCCUAGAACCUAAACCGUGGGGUGCAGCGUCAUGAUUUUGAUAACUUUUAAUGGCCAUGGGGUGUAGAUUGGCCUGAGCAAAUGUGGUGCCGGUGGAACGAAAGCCUUAGGAGGAGUUAGCGAAAUUCCAAUGUGUGCGGAUCGGCAAAAAAUGCGGAAUAACCCUUUAACCGUACAUUUGACAGAUAUGGGCGCAUUGACUUUUUCGUAGAUCUUAUUGAGUUACAUGUGUGUGUCAAUUUUUGUGUCAUUUUGACAAAGCGUAUAGGCGUGACACUCAACAAUGUGUAUUUUCACCUUAGGGGACAAGAAAAAAUGGAAUUUUUUCUCCUGCCAUGGGGGGGCGCUCUUUGGGGAGUAAAAAUUCCUUCACAAAUGUGUUGAUGGCUGGACAUUGCAUCAUCCUAGAAAACUUGGAGGCCAGUGAGGACAAAAAUAAAAAGUUAUAAGACUUUUAAAUAUGUGGAUUUUAGUGUUAUCUUUGGCGCCCCCUAGAACCUAAACCUUGGGGUGCAGCGUCAUGAUUUUGAUAACUUUUAAUGGCCACGGGGUGUAGAUUGGCCUGAGCAAAUGUGGUGCCGGUGGAACGAAAGCCUUCGGAGGAGUUAGCGAAAUUCCAAUGUGUGCGGAUCGGCAAAAAAUGCAAAAUAACCCUUUAACCGUAAUUUUGACAGAUACGGCCGCACUGACUUUUUUGUAGAUCUUAUUGAGAUACAUAUGUGUGUCAAUUUUUGUGUCAAUAUGACAAAGCGUACAGGCGUGACAGUCAAUAGUGUGAAUUUUCACCUUAGGGGGCGCUAUGGAGCCAUUUUGCAUUUUAUUGUUUGGGCGACUUCAGAAUAUCAAAUUUUUCACCAGGCCCGGUCGUCCUGCCAAAUUUCAUGAGUUUUCGCCAGUGGGAAGUGGGCCAUUUUCCAGUUCAAAGGGGAGGAAAAAGAAAAAAGAAAGAAAGAAACAAAGAAAAACCACUUGGGGAAUAAUAGGGCCUACGCCCGGCUGCUCUGCAGCUGGCUCGGGCCCUAAUAACACUAGGACCCCGUUGGGGCACUGGCGGGCCCGAGCCGUGUCGCGUCUCCCCCCCCCCGCCCCCAACGUGCUGCCUUCCCGUCCCAUUUGUGUCCUCUGGCCAUCGCCCUCUCUGUUAACGCCCAUCACUGCAAAGACCCUUUUCCUUCAUCGGCGUUUGCUGUUCUUCCUGCCAGUGCGUGUUGCUUUCACUUACACUUGCCACAGCCAGCCUCGUGAGUGCCUAGCCUAUUGGAUAUCACUGUCACCUACACAGGACAGUCAUUACCUUUCUAUUAAUACUUUGUGUUUUAAUUUCACAUUAAUUUCCAUAUUGUAUAGACGACUGGAAAAAACUUGAGCCCCUGCCCCUGUAUAAUCAUGUGCAUGUCUCUGUUCUAGCUCCAAGGUGAAUCUUCGCUGCUCAUGUUCUCCUCAGAAGCACUCACCUCACUCCCCUCAGGUUACUGUACACAUGCACCAACUGCCUGCUUCAGGUUUGGAUGGAGCUUCAUGGUUGUCUUUUGGAGAAAUGACCAGUCAAGUUGUGUUUGAAAUUUGAUUUUUUUCAGGGGCAAAACGAGCCUCUGCAUUCUUGUCAAAUAUGUAAAUAGCAUGUUUUUGCAGGUGCUAAAAACCAGACUCUGAGUGUGUGUGUGUGUGUGUGUGUGUGUGUGUGUGUGUGUGUGUGUGUGUGUGUGUGUGUGUGAGUGUGUGUGUGUCUAUGUGUGAGUUCAAGUCACAUGACAUAUUUAACCGGAUGUAGCUGCAAGACGGAGCCUCGUUGACUCUCCGUUUCAACUUAUCUCAAAAGUGAGGACCUCAACCUAUAUACCAGUUUUUAAAUUGUGUUGAUAGGCCAAAUAAAACCAGAGUUAUGAUAAAUUAUGUCCGCGAUACUUGUUUUCUGCUUAUUUUGAUCACGUUCGGCGCUCGAUCGCGCUGUAUGAGACAGGAAAACAUAGCAUGCAGACAUUAGCGACAGGUCUUACAGGCGGAAAAGGCUUGCCAAAAGAAAAAAAAAACACACCACAACAUCUCUCCUAUUGGUGGAAAACUUCACCACAACAACCAAUCCAAAAUUAUAUGGUGACUGAUUGACAAGGGGCGGGCGCUUACGUUCUUCCUGCAACAUGAGAAGGGAGGGAGGGACUCUCAGCAGGGAUGCAGUCUGGGACACGUAGUUGCAAACCUAGCGACUUUGUUGUUAGAUUCAAUGACUUUUCAGACCCCCUAACGACUUUUUUAGAAAGAAAGGGACUUUUAUCGACUUCUUCUGGAGUUUAGAGACUCUGACAUGAAGCAGGCUUUCCUUACUGAGGAGUUAGCAACGCUGCUAAGGGUGCAAGCCACACAUGCGCUCAGAGCUCUGCAUGGGAGACUGAAGCUGACAGAGCUGCAGCAGUUAGCAGGUUUCACCCUCAGAGACCACCAGGGGUUCAUGUUGAGGCAUUUUAAUUUUUUUUUUUUUUUGUGCCAUAGACACUGUCAGCACAAUCUGCAGUUACACUAACAAAAAUGCUGCAAAAAACAAAGAAUUAUGGAAAAAUUACACAUGGACUGACAUAGAGGAGGAUCUACACAAGUUUUUUACAUCAUGUUUUACAUCAUGCAUCAUUUACAUCAUGUUUUUUUGUAGUGGCAUAAAUAAAAAGUGACAUUUGUGAGACUAUACAGUGUUUUGUAAAUAAUUUUACAAAGAACGCCUGGGCCAUUGCCUGCAUUUUGAUGUAAAUAGAGGUAAAUUACUAUGUUCUUUGUUAAAAAUUUGCAUAUGUUUUGAAGUUUACAAUUUUUAUUUGAAGUUUAAGUUUUAAAAACAGUUCAUCACACAUAUUUGUGGUUUAAUUUCACAUUAAUUUCCAUAUUGUAUAAAUGACUGGAAAAAACUUGAGCCCCUGCCCCUGUAUAAUCAUGUGCACGUCCCUGUUCUAGCUCCAAGGUGAAUCUUCACUGCUCAUGUUCUCCUCAGAAAUAGUCACCUCACUCCCCUCAGGUUACUGUACACAUGCACCAACUAUCUGCUUCAGGUUUGAAAUGGAGCUUCAUGGUUGUCUUUUGGAGAAAUGAACAGUCAAGUUGUGUUUGAAAUUUGAUUUUUUUCAGGGGCAAAAGGAAGCCUCUGCAUUCUUGUCAAAUAUGUAAACAGCAUGUUUUUGCAGGUGCUAAAAAACAGACUCUGAGUGUGUGUGUGUGUCUGUGUGUGUGUGUGUGUGUGUGUGUGUGUGUGUGUGUGUGUGUGUGUGUGUGUGUGUGUGUAUGUUGGCGUGUGUGUAUAUGUGUGUGUAUCCUGCAGUACUCUGUACUCCUGCAGUGGCCAAAAAGACUUUUAAGAAUGUGGAUUUUUGGGUCAUCUUUGGCGCCCCCUAGAACUGCAGUACUCUGUACUCCUGCAGUGGCCAAAAUGACUUUUAAGAAUGUGGAUUUUUGGGUCAUCUUUGGCGCCCCCUAGAACGUAAACCGUGGGGUGCAGCGUCAUGAUUUUUACAACUUUGAAUGGGCAUGGGGUGUAGAUUGCCCUGAGCAAAUUUGGUAUCGGUGGGACGAAAGCCUUAGGAGGAGAUAGCCACAUUCCAAUGUGUGCGAAUCGGCAAAAAAUGCAAAAUAGCCCUUUAACCGUACAUUAUACAGAUACGCGCUCUUUGACUUUUUCGUAGAUCUAAUUGAGAUACACAUGAUUGUCAAUUUUUGUGUCAAUAUGACAAAGCGUUCAGGCGUGACACUCAACAAUGUGUAUUUUUAUGUAAGGGGACAAGAAAAAAUUGACUUUUUUCUCCUACCAUGGGGGGGCGCUCUUUUGGGGAGUAAAAAUUCCUUCACAAAUGUGUUGAUGGCUGGACAUUGCAUCAUCCUAGAAAACUUGGAGGCCAGUGAGGACAAAAAUAAAAAGUUAUAAAACAUUUAAGAAUGUGGAUUUUUGGGUUAUUUUUGGCACCCCCUAGAACCUAAACCAUGGGGUGCAGCAUCAUGAUUUGAAUAACUUUUAAUGGCCAUGGGGUGUAGAUUGGCCUGAGCAAAUGUGGUGCCGGUGGAACGAAAGCCUUCGGAGGAGUUAGCGAAAUUCCAAUGUGUGCGUAUCGGCAAAAAAUGCGGAAUAACCCUUUAACUGUACAUUUGACAGAUAUGCGCGCAUGGACUUUUUUGUAGAUCUUAUUGAGUUACAUGUGUGUGUCAAUUUUUGUGUCAUUUUGACAAAGCGUAUAGGCGUGACACUCAACAAUGUGUAUUUUCACCUUAGGGGACAAGAAAAAAUGGACUUUUUUCUCCUGCCAUGGGGGGGCGCUCUUUUGGGGAGUAAAAAUUCCUUCACAAAUGUGUUGAUGGCUGGACAUUGCAUCAUCCUAGAAAACUUGGAGGCCAGUGAGGACAAAAAUAAAAAGUUAUAAGACUUUUAAAUAUGUGGAUUUUAGUGUUAUCUUUGGCGCCCCCUAGAACCUAAACCUUGCGGUGCAGCGUCAUGAUUUUGAUAACUUUUAAUGGCCACGGGGUGUAGAUUGGCCUGAGCAAAUGUGGUGCCGGUGGAACGAAAGCCUUCGGAGGAGUUAGCGAAAUUCCAAUGUGUGCGGAUCACCAAAAAAUGCGAAAUAACCCUUUAACCGUAAUUUUGACAGAUACGGCCGCACUGACUUUUUUGUAGAUCUUAUUGAGAUACAUAUGUGUGUCAAUUUUUGUGUCAAUAUGACAAAGCGUACAGGCGUGACAGUCAAUAGUGUGAAUUUCCACCUUAGGGGGCGCUAUGGAGCCAUUUUGCAUUUUAUUGUUUGGGCGACUUCAGAAUAUCGAAUUUUUCACCAGGCCCGGUCGUCCUGCCAAAUUUCAUGAGUUUUCGCCAGUGGGAAGUGGGCCAUUUUCCAGUUCAAAGGGGAGGAAAAAGAAGAAAGAAAGAAAGAAAGAAAGAAAGAAAGAAAGAAACAAAGAAAAACCACUUGGGGAAUAAUAGGGCCUACGCCCGGCUGCUCUGCAGCUGGCUCGGGCCCUAACUAGGGCCCCGGUGGGGCACUGUCGGGCCCGAGCCGCGUCGCGCCGCCCCCAGCGCGACCACCUCCCCCUCCCGAUCGCGUCACACUCAAGGUCCAAAGAUGGUGUGCGCACUUGUCUGUGGUCAUUUCCCAUUAUAAUGAAUGGGAGGCGCAGUUUCUACCAAAACACUCGCUGCAGACAAACUACAUGUCCUAUUUGAAAAAAGUCUGGACCUUGAGUGAGGGCACAAACACAGCUAGGAUAUAUCCAAACGGCAAGUUGCUCCUCGUUACGGUGUUGCCGGGAGAGCGAUGCGAUUGAGCCAUUGAGUGAUGGGCAGGAAAAACUUGACUGUUUCUCCUGCCAUGGGGGAUGGGGGAUGGGGGAUGGGGGGGUUGAUUCUUUUAAGAAUGUGGAUAUUUGGGUCAUCUUUGGCGCCCCCUAGAACGUAAACCGUGGGGUGCAGCGUCAUGAUUUUUACAACUUUGAAUGGCCAUGGGGUGUAGAUUGGCCUGAGCAAAUUUGGUGUCAGUGGGACGAAAGCCUUAGGAAGAGUUAGCCACAUUCCAAUGUGUGCGAAUCGCCAAAAAAUGCGAAAUAGCCCUUGAACCGUACAUUUUACAGAUACGUGCGCGUUGACUUUUUCAUAAAUCUUAUUGAGAUACACAGGAUUGCCAAAUUUUGUGUCAAUAUGACAAAGCGUACAGGCGUGAAUCUCAACAAUGUGUAUUUUCACCUUAGGGGACAAGAAAAAAUGGACUUUUUUCUCCUGCCAUGGGGGGGCGCUCUUUUGGGGAGUAAAAAUUCCUUCACAAAUGUGUUGAUGGCUGGACAUUGCAUCAUCCUAGAAAACUUGGAGGCCAGUGAGGACAAAAAUAAAAAGUUAUAAGACUUUUAAAUAUGUGGAUUUUAGGGUUAUCUUUGGCGCCCCCUAGAACCAAAACCGUGGGGUGCAGCGUCAUGAUUUGAACAACUUUUAAUGGCCAUGGGGUGUAUAUUGGCCUGAGCAAAUUUGGUGCCGGUGGAACGAAAGCCUUCGGAGGAGUUAGCGAAAUUCCAAUGUGUGCGGAUCGGCAAAAAAUGCGAAAUAGCCCUUUAACGGUACAUUUGACAGAUACGCCCGCACUGACUUUUUUGUAGAUCUUAUUGAGAUACAUGUGUGUGUCAAUUUUUGUGUCAUUUUGACAAAGCGUACAGGCAUGACAGUCAAUAGUGUGAAUUUUCACCUUAGGGGGCGCUAUGGAGCCAUUUUGCAUUUUCUUGUUUGGGCGACUUCAGAAUAUCAAAUUUUUCACCAGGCCCGGUCGUCCUGCCAAAUUUCAUGAGUUUUCACCAGUGGGAAGUGGGCCAUUUUCCAGUUCAAAGGGGCAGAAAAAUAAUAAGAAAAAGACUAGGACCCCGUUGGGGCACUGGCGGGCCCGAGCCGUGUCGCCCCCCCCAACGUGCUUCCUCCCCGUCCCAUUUGUGUCCUCUGGCCAUCGCCCUCUCUGGUAACGCCCAUCACUGCAAAGACCCUUUUCCUUCAUCGGCGUUUGCUGUUCUUCCUGCCAGUGCGUGUUGCUUUCACUUACACUUGCCACAGCCAGCCUCGUGAGUGCCUAGCCUAUUGGAUAUCACUGUCACCUACACAGGACAGUCAUUACCUUUCUAUUAAUACUUUGUGUUUUAAUUUCACAUUAAUUUCCAUAUUGUAUAAACGACUGGAAAAAACUUGAGCCCCUGCCCCUGUAUAAUCAUGUGCAUGUCUCUGUUCUAGCUCCAAGGUGAAUCUUCACUGCUCAUGUUCUCCUCAGAAGCACUCACCUCACUCCCCUCAGGUUACUGUACACAUGCACCAACUGCCUGCUUCAGGUUUGGAUGGAGCUUCAUGGUUGUCUUUUGGAGAAAUGAGCAGUCAAGUUGUGUUUGAAAUUUGAUUUUUUUCAGGGGCAAAAGGAGCCUCUGCAUUCUUGUCAAAUAUGUAAAUAGCAUGUUUUUGCAGGUGCUAAAAACCAGACUCUGAGUGUGUGUGUGUGUGUGUGCGUGUGUGUGUGUGCGCGUUCAAGUCACAUGACAUAUUUAACCGGAUGUAGCUGCAAGACGGAGCCUCGUUGACUCUCCGUUUCAACUUAUCUCAAAAGUGAGGACCUCAACCUAUAUACCAGUUUUUAAAUUGUGUUGAUAGGCCAAAUAAAACCAGAGUUAUGAUAAAUUAUGUCCGCGAUACUUUUUUUCUGCUUAUUUUGAUCACGUUCGGCGCUCGAUCGCGCUGUAUGAGACAGGAAAACAUAGCAUGCAGACAUUAGCGACAGGUCUUACAGGCGGAAAAGGCUUGCCAAAAGAAAAAAAAAAAAACACCACAACAUCUCUCCUAUUGGUGGAAAACUUCACCACAACAACCAAUCCAAAAUUAUAUGGUGACUGAUUGACAAGGGGCGGGUGCUUACGUUCUUCCUGCAACAUGAGAAGGGAGGGAGGGACUCUCAGCAGGGAUGCAGUCUGGGACACGUAGUUGCAAACCUAGCGACUUUGUUGUUAGAUUCAAUGACUUUUCAGACCCCCUAACGACUUUUUUAGAAAGAAAGGGACUUUUAUCGACUUCUUCUGGAGUUUAGAGACUCUGACAUGAAGCAGGCUUUCCUUACUGAGGAGUUAGCAACGCUGCUAAGGGUGCAGAGCCACACAUGCGCUCAGAGCUCUGCAUGGGAGACUGAAGCUGACAGAGCUGCAGCAGUUAGCAGGUUUCACCCUCAGAGACCACCAGGGGUUCAUGUUGAGGCAUUUUAAAUUUUUUUUUUUUUUGUGCCAUAGACACUGUCAGCACAAUCUGCAGUUACACUAACAAAAAUGCUGCAAAAAACAAAGAAUUAUGGAAAAAUUACACAUGGACUGACAUAGAGGAGGAUCUACACAAGUUUUUUACAUCAUGUUUUACAUCAUGCAUCAUUUACAUCAUGUUUUUUUGUAGUGGCAUAAAUAAAAAGUGACAUUUGUGAGACUAUACAGUGUUUUGUAAAUAAUUUUACAAAGAACGCCUGGGCCAUUGCCUGCAUUUUGAUGAAAAUAGAGGUAAAUCACUAUGUUCUUUGUUAAAAAUUUGCAUAUGUUUUGAAGUUUACAAUUUUUAUUUGAAGUUUAAGUUUUAAAAACAGUUCAUCACACAUAUUUGUGGUUUUCACAGUAAAAAUGUUACUUUUUUCCACUCGGAUUUUAUGUUUUGUGUGUGAAUUUGGGUCCAUUGUGUAAAUUCAGUAUGUCAACAUGAUAAAAUAACUGUAAAUUCGCACAGGUGAGGUUGUGCUGAAAAAAAUGAUACCAGGCAAGGCACGUGAUUGUCAAAUUUUGUGUCAAUAUGACAAAGUGUAUAGGCGUGAAUCUCAACAAUAUGUAUUUUCACCUUAGGGGACAAGAAAAAAUGGACUUUUUUCUCCUGCCAUGGGGGGGCGCUCUUUUGGGGAGUAAAAAUUCCUUCACAAAUGUGUUGAUGGCUGGACAUUGCAUCAUCCUAGAAAACUUGGAGGCCAGUGAGGACAAAAAUAAAAAGUUAUAAGACUUUUAAGAAUGUGGAUUUUAGGGUUAUCUUUGGCGCCCCCUAGAACCUAAACCGUGGGGUGCAGCGUCAUGAUUUGAAUAACUUUUAAUGGCCAUGGGGUGUAGAUUGUCCUGAGCAAAUGUGGUGCCGGUGGAAUGAAAGCCUUAGGAGGAGUUAGCCACAUUCCAAUGUGUGCGGAUCGGCAAAAAAUGCGGAAUAACCCUUUAACCGUACAUUUGACAGAUACGCGCGCAUUGACUUUUUCGUAGAUCUUAUUGAGUUACAUGUGUGUGUCAAUUUUUGUGUCAUUUUGACAAAGCGUAUAGGCGUGACACUCAACAAUGUGUAUUUUCACCUUAGGGGACAAGAAAAAAUUGACUUUUUUCUCCUGCCAUGGGGGGGCGCUCUUUUGGGGAGUAAAAAUUCCUUCACAAAUGUGUUGAUGGCUGGACAUUGCAUCAUCCUAGAAAACUUGGAGGCCAGUGAGGACAAAAAUAAAAAGUUAUAAGACUUUGAAAUAUGUGGAUUUUAGUGUUAUCUUUGGCGCCCCCUAGAACCUAAACCUUGGGGUGCAGCGUCAUGAUUUUGAUAACUUUUAAUGGCCACGGGGUGUAGAUUGGCCUGAGCAAAUGUGGUGCCGGUGGAACGAAAGCCUUCGGAGGAGUUAGCGAAAUUCCAAUGUGUGCGGAUCGGCAAAAAAUGCGGAAUAACCCUUUAACCGUACAUUUGACAGAUACGCCCGCACUGACUUUUUUGUAGAUCUUAUUGAGAUACAUAUGUGUGUCAAUUUUUGUGUCAAUAUGACAAAGCGUACAGGCGUGACAGUCAAUAGUGUGAAUUUCCACCUUAGGGGGCGCUAUGGAGCCAUUUUGCAUUUUAUUGUUUGGGCGACUUCAGAAUAUCGAAUUUUUCACCAGGCCCGGUCGUCCUGCCAAAUUUCAUGAGUUUUCCCCAGUGGGAAGUGGGCCAUUUUCCAGUUCAAAGGGGAGGAAAAAGAAGAAACUAGGGCCCCGGUGGGGCACUGUCGGGCCCGAGCCGUGUCGCGCCGCCCCCAGUGCGACCGCCUCCCCGUCCCGAUCGAGUCACACUCAAGAACCAAAGAUGGUGUGCGCACUUGUCUGUGGUCAUUUCCCAUUAUAAUGAAUGGGAGGCGCAGUUUCUACCAAAACACUCGCUGCAGACAAACUUCAUGUCCUAUUUGAAAAAAGUCUGGACCAUGAGUGAGGGCACAAACACAGCUAUGAUAUAUCGAAAUGCCAGGUUGCUCCUCCUUACGGUGUUGCCUGGAGAGCGAUGCGAUUGAGCCAUUGAGCGAUGGGCAGGAAAAACUUGACUUUUUCUCCUGCCAUAGGGGGGGGGAUGUGGAUUCUUUUAAGAAUGUGGAUUUUUGGGUCAUCUUUGGCGCCCCCUAGAACGUAAACCGUGGGGUGCAGCGUCAUGAUUUUUACAACUUUGAAUGGCCAUGGGGUGUAGAUUGGCCUGAGCAAAUUUGGUGUCAGUGGGACGAAAGCCUUAGGAGGAGUUAGCCACAUUCCAAUGUGUGCGAAUCGGCAAAAAAUGCAAAAUAGCCCUUUAACCGUACAUUUGACAGAUACGCGCAAAUUGACUUUUUUGUAGAUCUUAUUGAGAUACAUAUGUGUGUCAAUUUUUGUGUCAAUAUGACAAAGCGUUCAGGCGUGACACUCAACAAUGUGUAUUUUUAUGUAAGUGGACAAGAAAAAAUUGACUUUUUUCUCCUACCAUGGGGGGGCGCUCUUUUGGGGAGUAAAAAUUCCUUCACAAAUGUGUUGAUGGCUGAACAUUGCAUCAUCCUAGAAAACUUGGAGGCCAGUGAGGACAAAAAUAAAAAGUUAUAAAACAUUUAAGAAUGUGGAUUUUUGGGUUAUUUUUGGCGCCCCCUAGAACCUAAACCGUGGGGUGCAGCGUCAUGAUUUUGAUAACUUUUAAUGGCCAUGGGGUGUAGAUUGGCCUGAGCAAAUGUGGUGCCGGUGGAACGAAAGCCUUAGGAGGAGUUAGCCACAUUCCAAUGUGUGCGGAUCGGCAAAAAAUGCGGAAUAACCCUUUAACUGUACAUUUGACAGAUACGCGCGCGUGGACUUUUUUGUAGAUCUUAUUGAGUUACAUGUGUGUGUCAAUUUUUGUGUCAUUUUGACAAAGCGUAUAGGCGUGACACUCAACAAUGUGUAUUUUCACCUUAGGGGACAAGAAAAAAUGGACUUUUUUCUCCUGCCAUGGGGGGGCGCUCUUUUGGGGAGUAAAAAUUCCUUCACAAAUGUGUUGAUGGCUGGACAUUGCAUCAUCCUAGAAAAUUUGGAGGCCAGUGAGGACAAAAAUAAAAAGUUAUAAGACUUUUAAAUAUGUGGAUUUUAGUGUUAUCUUUGGCGCCCCCUAGAACCUAAACCUUGGGGUGCAGCGUCAUGAUUUUGAUAACUUUUAAUGGCCACGGGGUGUAGAUAGGCCUGAGCAAAUGUGGUGCCGGUGGAACGAAAGCCUUCGGAGGAGUUAGCGAAAUUCCAAUGUGUGCGGAUCGGCAAAAAAUGCGAAAUAACCCUUUAACCGUAAUUUUGACAGAUACGGCCGCACUGACUUUUUUGUAGAUCUUAUUGAGAUACAUGUGUGUGUCAAUUUUUGUGUCAAUAUGACAAAGCGUACAGGCGUGACAGUCAAUAGUGUGAAUUUCGACCUUAGGGGGCGCUAUGGAGCCAUUUUGCAUUUUAUUGUUUUGGCGACUUCAGAAUAUCGAAUUUUUCACCAGGCCCGGUCAUCCUGCCAAAUUUCAUGAGUUUUCGCCAGUGGGAAGUGGGCCAUUUUCCAGUUCAAAGGGGAGGAAAAAGAAAAAAGAAAGAAAGAAACAAAGAAAAACCACUUGGGGAAUAAUAGGGCCUACGCCCGGCUGCUCUGCAGCUGGCUCGGGCCCUAAGAAAGAAAGAAAGAAAGAAACAAAGAAAAACCACUUGGGGAAUAAUAGGGCCUACGCCCGGCUGCUCUGCAGCUGGCUCGGGCCCUAACUAGGACCCCGUUGGGGCACUGGCGGGCCCGAGCUGUGUCGCGUCCCCCCCCCAACGCGCUGCCUCCCCGUCCCAUUUGUGUCCUCUGGCCAUCGCCCUCUCUGGUAACGCCCAUCACUGCAAAGACCCUUUUCCUUCAUCGGCGUUUGCUGUUCUUCCUGCCAGUGCGUGUUGCUUUCACUUACACUUGCCACAGCCAGCCUCUUGAGUGCCUAGCCUAUUGGAUAUCACUGUCACCUACUCAGGACAGUCAUUACCUUUCUAUUAAUACUUUGUUUUUUAAUUUCACAUUAAUUUCCAUAUUGUAUAAACAACUGGAAAAAACUUGAGCCCCUGCCCCUGUAUAAUCAUGUGCACGUCUCUGUUCUAGCUCUAAGGUGAAUCUUCACUGCUCAUGUUCUCCUCAGAAGCAGUCACCUCACUCCCCUCAGGUUACUGUACACAUGCACCAACUGCCUGCUUCAGGUUUGGAUGGAGCUUCAUGGUUGUCUUUUGGAGAAAUGACCAGUCAAGUUGUGUUUGAAAUUUGAUUUUUUUCAGGGGCAAAAGGAGCCUCUGCAUUCUUGUCAAAUAUGUAAAUAGCAUGUUUUUGCAGGUGCUAAAAACCAGACUCUGAGUGUGUGUGUGUGCGUGUGUGUGUGUGUCUGUGUGUGUGUGUGUGUGUGUGUGUGUGUGUGUGUGCGUUCAAGUCACAUGACAUAUUUAACCGGAUGUAGCUGCAAGACGGAGCCUCGUUGACUCCGUUUCAACUUAUCUCAAAAGUGAGGACCUCAACCUAUAUACCAGUUUUUAAAUUGUGUUGAUAGGCCAAAUAAAACCAGAGUUAUGAUAAAUUAUGUCCGCGAUACUUGUUUUCUGCUUAUUUUGAUCACGUUCGGCGCUCGAUCGCGCUGUAUGAGACAGGAAAACAUAGCAUGCAGACAUUAGCGACAGGUCUUACAGGCGGAAAAGGCUUGCCAAAAGAAAAAAAAAACACACCACAACAUCUCUCCUAUUGGUGGAAAACUUCACCACAACAACCAAUCCAAAAUUAUAUGGUGACUGAUUGACAAGGGGCGGGCGCUUACGUUCUUCCUGCAAUAUGAGAAGGGAGGGAGGGACUCUCAGCAGGGAUGCAGUCUGGGACACGUAGUUGCAAACCUAGCGACUUUGUUGUUAGAUUCAAUGACUUUUCAGACCCCCUAACGACUUUUUUUUUAGAAAGAAAGUGACUUUUAUCGACUUCUUCUGGAGUUUAGAGACUCUGACAUGAAGCAGGCUUUCCUUACUGAGGAGUUAGCAACGCUGCUAAGGGUGCAGAGCCACACAUGCGCUCCGAGCUCUGCAUGGGAGACUGAAGCUGACAGAGCUGCAGCAGUUAGCAGGUUUCACCCUCAGAGACCACCAGGGGUUCAUGUUGAGGCAUUUUCAGUUUUUUUUUUUUUUUUGCCAUAGACACUGUCAGCACAAUCUGCAGUUACACUAACAAAAAUGCUGCAAAAAACAAAGAAUUAUGGAAAAAUUACACAUGGACUAACAUAGAGGAGGAUCUACACAAGUUUUUUACAUCAUGUUUUACAUCAUGCAUCAUUUACAUCAUGUUUUUUUGUAGUGGCAUAAAUAAAAAGUGACAUUUGUGAGACUAUACAGUGUUUUGUAAAUAAUUUUACAAAGAACACCUGGGCCAUUGCCUGCAUUUUGAUGUAAAUAGAGGUAAAUUACUAUGUUCUUUGUUAAAAAUGUGCAUAUGUUUUGAAGUUUACAAUUUUAAUUUGAAGUUUAAGUUUUAAAAACAGUUCAUCACACAUAUUUGUGGUUUUCACAGUAAAAACGUUACUUUUUUCCACUCGGAUUUUAUGUUUUGUGUGUGAAUUUGGGUCCAAUGUGCAAAUAUAGUAUGUCAAAAUGAUAAAAUAACUGUAAAUUGACACAGGUGAGGUUGUGCUGAAAAAAAUGAUACCAGGCAAGGCAAGGUAAAAAUUUUGUAAGAGGAAAUAUAAAGGUAAAAUCUAAAGUAGUCAAAAACGGCCAAUAGUGACUCACAGACUCCACAGACAAGUCCCUUUGGCGCCACUCAGUGGGCAAAACUACUUUGUCUACUGUAAUGUAUAUUUGGGUCAUCUUUGGCGCCCCCUAAAACGUAAACCGUGGGGUGCAGCGUCA